rnacentral:lncRNA from 1 species
CUACUGAAGAGCUGGGUUUGACUAUUACCAUACACAAUAACUAAACCUCUUUACCCUACCCAGUGCUCUAUUACUUGGGUUAGACAAACUAGGAUUUGUUUUUGCUUUAAAGUCUCAUCUAGAGAUGAGCCAGCUUAUUACCAGUGACAACUGUGAAAAAAGGACAGAGGCAUGCCCACGAGGGAUUGUCCCUGAUAAUUUCUGCCUCAAUGGUAAAGUAGAUAGGUAAAUUUGACUGAGUGUCUUUUCUAUCCAUUGCAUAGUAGCAGUAGCAUCAGUGAAGAGACUUUCUCCAGCAAUAACGAGAAGACAGCUAAUAUGAAAUGGUGGGAUGUGCUCAUCUACAGGCAUAAAAUCAAAAAAGUCCGUAUGUGAAAAACCAAGCACGUGGCACCACUGCACCUGGAUACAGUGCAGCUGUCAGCCCAGGAGGGAGGGAGAAGAUAUUCAACUUGCAAAGGCUUCAUCCGUUACUGAAAAGGCUUUAUGAACCAAGCAACGGAAGUCUGGGUUUUGACCAACUCUGCCACUGACCUUUCGGGUGACUACAG